rnacentral:tRNA from 1 species
GCCCGGUUGUUCAGUUGGUUAGAGCAUCGUCCCAACACACCAAGGGUGUGGGUUCGAUCCCACACAGGGCA